rnacentral:rRNA from 1 species
GACGGGACCCGCACAAGCGGUGGAUGAUGUGGUUUAAUUCGAUGCAACGCGAAAACCUUACCCACCUUGACAUGUACGGAAUCCUUUAGAGAUAGAGGAGUGCUCGAAAGAGAGCCGUAACACAGGUGCUGCAUGGCUGUCGUCAGCUCGUGUCGUGAGAUGUUGGGUUAAGUCCCGCAACGAGCGCAACCCUUGUCAUUAGUUGCUACGAAAGGGCACUCUAAUGAGACUGCCGGUGACAAACCGGAGGAAGGUGGGGAUGACGUCAAGUCCUCAUGGCCCUUAUAGGUGGGGCUACACACGUCAUACAAUGGCUGGUACAAAGGGUUGCCAACCCGCGAGGGGGAGCCAAUCCCAUAAAGCCAGUCGUAGUCCGGAUCGCAGUCUGCAACUCGACUGCGUGAAGUCGGAAUCGCUAGUAAUCGUGGAUCAGCAUGUCACGGUGAAUACGUUCCCGGGCCUU